UACGAAGGGGGCUAGCGUUGCUCGGAAUCACUGGGCGUAAAGGGUGCGUAGGCGGGUCUUUAAGUCAGGGGUGAAAUCCUGGAGCUCAACUCCAGAACUGCCUUUGAUACUGAAGAUCUUGAGUUCGGGAGAGGUGAGUGGAACUGCGAGUGUAGAGGUGAAAUUCGUAGAUAUUCGGAAGAACACCAGUGGCGAAGGCGACAUACUGGUCCGUUACUGACGCUGAGGCUCGAAAGCGUGGGGAGCAAACAGG
rnacentral:rRNA from 1 species